CUCAAGAAUUAAGGUUACACAUGGACUCUCCUUGUUCUCAAUGACCAGCUCAGAUACAUCACUGAUGCAGCAACACCAGUCAAGGGAGAAAUAUGGGGAGGAAGAUGCAUCUGCUGAAGGAAAGUUGAACCGCUUAAGUUCUUCAACACACAGAAAAACAUGUGUUCCACUUACAAAAAGUGAUCUUGAAAGCCAUGAUUCCUCUUC
rnacentral:misc_RNA from 1 species